rnacentral:rRNA from 1 species
UACGAAGGGGGCUAGCGUUGCUCGGAAUCACUGGGCGUAAAGGGCGCGUAGGCGGCGUUUUAGGUCGGGGGUGAAAGCCUGUGGCUCAACCACAGAAUGGCCUUCGAUACUGGGACGCUUGAGUAUGGUAGAGGUUGGUGGAACUGCGAGUGUAGAGGUGAAAUUCGUAGAUAUUCGCAAGAACACCGGUGGCGAAGGCGGCCAACUGGACCAUUACUGACGCUGAGGCGCGAAAGCGUGGGGAGCAAACAGG